ACGGAGGGUGCAAGCGUUAUUCGGAAUUACUGGGCGUAAAGGGCGUGCAGGCGGGAGAGCAAGUCUGAUGUGAAAGCCCGGGGCUUAACCCCGGAAGGGCAUUGGAAACUGCUUUUCUUGAGUUCUGGAGAGGAAGGGAGAAUUCCCGGUGUAGGGGUGAAAUCCGUAGAGCUCGGGAGGACCACCAGUGGCGAAGGCGCCCUACUGGAAAGCAACUGACGCUGAGGCGCGAAAGCGUGGGGAGCAAACAG
rnacentral:rRNA from 1 species